rnacentral:rRNA from 1 species
AGUGAACGCUGGCGGUAGGCCUAACACAUGCAAGUCGAACGGCAGCACAGUAAGAGCUUGCUCUUACGGGUGGCGAGUGGCGGACGGGUGAGGAAUACAUCGGAAUCUACUUUUUCGUGGGGGAUAACGUAGGGAAACUUACGCUAAUACCGCAUACGACCUACGGGUGAAAGCAGGGGAUCUUCGGACCUUGCGCGAUUGAAUGAGCCGAUGUUGGAUUAGCCAGUUGGCGGGGUAAAGGCCCACCAAGGCGACGAUCCGUAGCUGGUCUGAGAGGAUGAUCCGCCACACUGGAACUGAGACACGGUCCAGACUCCUACGGGAGGCAGCAGUGGGGAAUAUUGGACAAUGGGCGCAAGCCUGAUCCAGCCAUACCGCGUGGGUGAAGAAGGCCUUCGGGUUGUAAAGCCCUUUUGUUGGGAAAGAAAAGCAGCAGGUUAAUACCCCGCUGUUCUGACGGUACCCAAAGAAUAAGCACCGGCUAACUUCGUG